rnacentral:misc_RNA from 1 species
GGGGUGUGGUGGUGAAAUCAACGUCUUUUUUCUGUAGCGGUUCUUUUCUUUUAAAAAUUUAAUUUCUGGGUAUAAUUAUAAAUAUUCAGAUCUAUAAGAUCUGUGUGCAUUUUGAGGAGUUUUUGUCUACAAUAUAUAGCGUCUACUUAUUGAAUUUUAGGUAAUAAUUCUUAAUUUUUCAAAUUAAUCACUAUAUUUGGGGAAAAUUAAUGAUGGAUGACAGUGGACGUUUAUUUGAAAUUUUUGUAUAUAUUAUGGGUUAUUUGCAAUUUGUCUGCAUUUACAGUUUUCAUAAUUUUUAGAUUUUUCAAUUUAUUACUAUGAAUAAUUUAUAGUUAUUUAAAUUAUAGAAUUAUUUAACAUUAAUGUUACAAUUUCUGAUUUAUAUAAUAAAUAUAUUUUUAGAUUUUAUGUUCUCAAUAAUUUAUGUUUGAAAAUGUAUAAUUUUUGGAUUUUUUUAAUCUAUUGAUUUUAUGUGUUACGUUUUGAGUGCAAUCCUUGGCUUACUGUUAAUUUUAGUCAUUUUACUAAUGGUUUAAUAAAUUUCACGGUGUUGAUGGCAGAUCUGGUUUGUUUUGAAACAAUUCAAUUUGAUUCCAUUAUGUCGUUUUGAUACCAUUUCCAAAGCCAUUUCAGAAACUAUUUCUGAUUCCAUUAUUUAUUUAAAAGUUAAAACCAUGCUUCUUAUCUUUAUUUUUAUUUCUAUCAUAAAUGGCAUCUUGAUUUUGUUGGUGAUAUUUAAAUUGUUCUUGUGAUAACAAGCUCGUGAUAACUAGUUUGUGAUAACAAGUUCUGUUCUUGUUCAUUAUCAAAAAAAUCUUAUCUUCUAAAUUUUUUAAUUUGCAUUAAUUUUUUUUGUUAUUAUCUAUAUUUUUUAUUUGUAAUUCUGUCUAACUUCAAAUAGGACAUUCUGUGUAAAUGGAAAUUAAAGUUCUCUCCAUUAUCAAUUAGGGUUUGAAAAAUGCAAUGGCUUCUGGCGCUAACAAGGAUGAAGAGGAUUCUGAGGGAAGAACAGCACUGCAUUUUGCUUGUGGAUAUGGAGAGGUAAAGUGUGCUCAAAUCCUUCUUGAGGCAGGAGCAACUGUUGAUGCACUGGAUAAAAAUAAGAACACUGCGCUUCAUUAUGCAGCUGGAUAUGGAAGGAAGGAAUGUGUAGCCCUUCUACUAGAGAAUGGCGCUGCUGUUACCCUCCAGAACAUGGAUGGCAAGACUCCCAU